AUCGGCAUGAGUAGACACAUCGCGCAUUAUGCACGUAUAAGGCCGUGCGCUACCGGAGCAUCGUUCACCCUUAGCCUGCGCAAGGCUUAUUCAGAGCGCGGGGAGAGAGAGAGAGAGAGGAGCGGGGGAGCUUACACCCAGCGGUUAUCCCACGGGGGAUUUGCGUAUCCACUGCCGACCCCAUAUCUAUCAUUUCACCCUGGGUGCUGCAUUCAGACUAGGCUGGCCGGGUAAUUAUGUAAGCCGCGGCGCUGGCUGCAAGUUCUGUUGACGUGAGGAGGACGAAAUUCGUUCUUCACCUCAUCGUCUUGUUGGCGUGGCUGUGUGGGAACGUAGACUGCUGUCAUCGCCUCAGCUCUUUGAUUCUCACCGGGCGUUCUGGUUUCCGUACACGGAGGCUGGCACGCAGUCACGAGACCUUAUAGUCACGACGCUCAUAUUGGGGGCAGUACUCCAGUGAAGCACCCAACGGCAACUUCACAGCUAAACAAAAUAGGCAAUUUUUCUUUCUGUGGAUGGAAUGAACAUUCUUCACCAGAAUAAAUACAUUCGAUAGCUUGAAGUCGUCUAAAACCUGGCUGAGCGCAUCAAAGUGAGUCCAACCCUGGAAAACACAACUAAACUUGUUUCGUGAACCAGUGAUCACGUCUUCACAAUGGGAGGGCAGCAGAGUACCAACGGCACAGACGCAUAUAAGGUGGACAUCUUCGGGGACAGUAUGAGGAAAAAGUUCGACAAAGGUGAGCUGAAGGUUACUGCAACACAUCUCUGCUUCGUGGGUGCCAAGAACAACUUCGAGUGGCCCCUUGAGGGCUUCAAGCGCUAUGGUCAGGGCAAGAGAAUCUUCAGCGUUGAGUUGCUGGACUACAACGACGUCCUUAACACGAGGGAGGUCAUCUUCCGCUCCAAGAGCGCACAGGUCAUCUGUGAGGACUUCCGGGAGAAGUUGGCUGCCUUGGAGGAAAGCAUCGCCCGGCCGCCUUCGGAGACGGCCCCGAUGGUCGAGGCUGUGUCCUGAUCGGUCCAUUACUGGGUGCCGAAUUCCACGAACUUACUCCGCGCCGCAAAAUGGAGGAUUCUAAGUUUCCUAAAUACUUUUCGAUAAUCUACGCAAAGCAAAAUCCAGCUUUAUAGGGCAAAAGAUAGCUAGAAGGGCUACGGGAAACGUGUUGAAUGGCCUAUGCUGUGUAAUAUUAAUUUACUCGCAGGUUGUGUGGCUUCGCACGCAUUCACGGUUUCGAUGACUAGACAUUGUACUUUAUGGGAAAAGCAAAACGAAAGAUGCUGGAAAUUCUGCUUCAAAAUACAGCGUCUUUGUAGGCAUGGAGAGACAAGCAAAGUGAGUCGCUGCUUUUUAUUAUUACAAUCGACAUAAAUCCCUUAAGCUCUGGUUUCACUUAAGGAAGGAGAACGCUCUUAGAGUUUGGAAAUGCUGUCGGGCUAUGUGCCUGAACAAAAACAUAACAAACUCCGUACAAGUGAACAUGUUUACAACGUUGAAAGGGAAAAUUCAGAUUGUCUUCGAUAAGAGUAUACAUACCUUAGGCAAGCUUACAGCUGUCAGUGUGCUUUUCUAAAACUGAGCAAGUCUCUUUGGAAGUUUUUGGGGAUGAUACUUUUGAAAGUGGGCAGUCAUUCCUAUGCUAGUGACACAUCACAAGGCUUAUAUGGUUGUGCACCACCCAAUCUUUCAAACACUUAGCAGUAGCUUGUAACGUUGCAAACGUGAUGUCUGGAAAUGACCUGUUUGAAAAUUUAACCGUACGAGCUAAUAUACAACAAUGAAAGCACAUGUACAUGAACAUAAAAUAUUCUCAAUACGGAGUCUCAAAAUAUUUACUGAUACCUUUACAUAUUUUUAAGAAUUGUUAUCCACUUAAUGAAAAGGUAAAGACAGGAUAUUUUCAUAGAUUAUUUGUACCAGGUAAGUCUGUGUAAUUUUUGUAAGGUGUUUCACUAUAUUUUGCUUGGUGUAUUUCUAGGUAUAAAAUACCAUUUUUCUUUGGGUCACUCAAACCAUGUUCAUCACUUCCGUAUGGUGCCUACGCAUACAUGACCCAGACUUUGAUUUUCAAGUCUUACAAACUCGUAGAUGUAUUCGUAUGAUCUGUUGGAAUUUGUUUGUACCAAGCUUCCAAAAUUAGCGAGUGUUUUCUAACGCUACGACCCCCUCCCCAAACAAAUUUGUUAUACACUAGUGACCGUCUAAUAGUAUGAAGUACUUGCUGUCAACUGUCUUACUAGCAACGGUAUAACGACCAAUGCAACCCCGUCCCCAACAACCCCACCUGUCAAAGUGUCAACUUAAAUUGAGGAUUGACAGCUUCUCACUGAAUAUAGGCUUGGGCGAAUCCAGCAUUUUUGGAAUCGAUUUCUAUUCGAUGAAGUCAAGGAAUCGCGAUUCCACUUGGAAUCUAAAUCCGAUUUUCACCAGUGCAAAGGACAUAAAACAGUUUAACCCUCCGUUACUACAUAUUAUGUUCAUAGGGCGCUUGGUUAAUUGCUUGUUGUCUCAUCAAGACAUUACAUCGUACUACGACUUUAAUCUGAUUAUCUACCGUACAAUUGUUCGAGAUUCGAAACAUUAGUUUAACUGUCGCACACGAUUUCAUGAAAUCGAACGGAAACCUACGUAUACUGAUACUGCACGUGGCUCCUCUUCGUAAUUUUGCCGUUGUACAAUUGUGAUUGUGUGUUUCAAGUUAAAACACAUGUUGGUUAAGAAACAUAGGUGCCUUUACAUUCAUUUUCAUGCGACAUAAACUUUAUUAAGCUACAAUUUAUUCCACGGAACCGAAACAGGUGCAAGCCUCUUCGAUUAGCGACAAACAUUUUACUUUCUGCAACCUAUCGGAGGGAAUUUUCACUGAAACCCUAUCCGCUCCUUCUCCACACACUGCACCAAUCUGCUGUCAAUGGUUAACACAUGUUUCUGGCGUGUCUGUCUGGUAUCAGCUGCAACAUGAAGCCGCUAGUCUCCUGCGAAGUCCCUUGCAAUUUGGUGACAGGAAAAGUUCAGAAUCACCAGAGCGUCCUUGCCCAACUUCUUUCAUUUGUGGCCGAAAUCUCCGUGUCCAAAACUCUCGCCAAUUAGGGUUAAUGGGAAGGUGGAGGCCUACAGCAAACAACGUUAAUUAACGAUGAAUACCCUGAGCUCAGACUCGAUGCGCCGGUAAAAUAACGCUUGCAGCCCCAAUGCGCUACCAUGGGUAUAAAACCUUUUUUUUAAACUAUGUUGGUCUUGCCAACGAGUUUUAAAAGAAGGAAAUCCCCGAUAGGAAACAAAUUUCUCAUUAGUGUUUUUUUUUAAUGUUUCUCGCAAAAAGCGGAAUGCAGUGGUGUUAGACCUGUAGAAAGACUGUCACUUUAGUUUCGUCGCUUACCCGUAGAACCGGAUAAAUUUACAGCAUGGGAGAUCGAUUGGAAUGAAGCCAGAAAUUGGCCUAACCCACAGUGCUUGUGAUCGGCACACUUUACAGGCCAAGUAAAGUACUAGUAUUCAUGUGGUUGUAAACGGACACAGAAAACAUGCAAGAUACCAAGACCUAGACAGUGGUGGAAGCGUGGCUUUUUUUUUAGAACACACUUUUUGGGGAUACAACAUGCCCUUUCCGGUGAAAAAUAGAUUUUGUCAGUCUUGAGAGGAGACUAUAGUCUUCACGCCUUGUUGAAGCCCACCUGUUACAAUAUCGGACUCCCUUCGAAAAAAUAACUCAAAGCUACGAUUUUAGCCUUUACUCAAGUCAGGUUUCCCCAGCGUGUUGCGUAAAACAAUUUGGCGUAAUUCCAUCCCUAAACGUAAAAAAAAUGGCGUACGAAACUCGCUAAUUUUUCGCACAUUUUAGGUGGCAAUUUCGCCUCUGGAAGCCCAACUGUUUAUCCAGUUUGAUGUAUUUUGUUUGUGGUAAGUUUUUAUAUAUAUUAGGGAAUCAUAGUUAGUAAUUGAAAUAAAAUUGGUAAAAUGAGUGCUAUUAAGCGAGAGAGAUAUCGUUGUUCCCGCGCCGUGUCCGCGUAAGCGCACACAGUUGGCAAAGUUGAAUUAAGUUCAACUUAGCCGACUUUCGCCGUCCCUGUUGGCGUCCGUUGCGAGAAAUUGUGGUUCCAUGACUGCUAUCGUCGCAAACUGAUCGGCGAUGUUCUCUGUGUCUCUGCCGUUGACAUGGAAACUAGGCUCAAGAGAAACACCACAUGGAGCCGCUUAUGAUUCCCUUAUGGUAUGCUGCGGUUUAGACUUCUUUGAGUCGGCUUAAUCACCCACUUGUCGGAAUUUUUUUAAGCUCAAGGGGUCGUACGAGUUGACAGUCUCUCAGAAUCACUAGGCGCUUGCUGCAAUAGGAUCUUAGUGGAAUGCAAUCGAAAGUUGAAUGGAGUCGAUCCAUCUAAAGGGUAGAAUCGCGUUUCCGAUUUUCCGAGUUUGGAAUCUAUCCUCGUCGAUUUCACCAGCACCAAUUCGCCUAAGCCUACUGAUACAGCAAUGGGACGCUCUUUUAGCAGUCUUUUAGCCGUCUAUAUAUGUUAAACCGUAUCUUGCCUUGCUGAAACCCCUUCGAGUCUCUGCGUGUAUAAGCUGGGAAAUCAUAACUUUUCUAUCGUUAGUUCAGCCAUACAAGUUACAACAAAUGCACUACCAUCACUAUGAAUGCAGCUAGUGCAGCUGGAUGGCAAUUCCUCUUCGACCACUGAGUAUGAUUCAUAGCCGGGCAUUUCAAACAUCACCAUGAGGAGUCACACUUUUCUCCAUCUGCUCAGAAAAAUUGAACGGAAAACUGCAUUAACUCUAACACUUCUGUUGAACGAAUCCAGGACUCACAGUUGUUUGUCAAUUUGGCCGUUCCCGGAGUCAGCAGGAGUGGCAUGCGAUGGAAACUGUCAUAAAAUGCCAUAGAUUAGCUAUGUGCCGUAUGGAGAAUAACUAUUCAAAUAUUUUUCAGAUCUAACAGUUUUUUUUGUGCGAAUGUGGCUCUGCAUGGAAGCAAAUUAUGAGUUGGUAUUUUGGUUCCUUUAGUGCGCUUUAAGACGUACUCUCGGCAAAUUGAUAUUAAUAAUACGAUGUUGAUAUAAACUGCAUUUCUUAUUUAUGUGACGUCUCUUUACUUAUUUCUUGACUGUUCAGGAUAGAAAUUGUUCUGUUGCACAAAAUUGUAGCACAGCCAGUUUGGAUGUAUAUUUCGAAGAUGUAGUCGCAAUCGACAUGUUAUUAAAGCACUUCUUGUGAAUUGAUCGUCGCUUUAGAUUUUUCAUGUAAAAUUAAUAGGUCUUUACACUUGCUACUUGAUGGUACAUAAGUAAGUUUGAGUAACACAUUGUGAACAGAAAUGACCGGUUUGCCUAGUUUGGACUCCUGUUAGAAAAUGUUUUAUUUUUGUUAAAAGACCAAUGUCUGGCAAAAUUAAAAGUGUCAAAAAUGGGAUUUCGCUUCCGUCUUCGACAUUGGGCUUUAACUGUCAUGAAUUUAGACCGUGUGUUGAAAGCCUUCGGCUUUGUAGUUUACUAGUUUCUGUUUGUUUAAUUUUGCUCCAGUAGCAAAUGUAUGAAAAUAAUUCUAGACUUCCAGUGCGUGGGAUUUAACCACAGCUGGAAAUGGCAAUUUUUGACACUUGACAAGUAUGCGCUUAAAGGAAUUGAAGUGUUCCUUUUUGAAAGCUUAACAUUCUGCAGUGGUUUUUAAGUCCAAGUUGCAAAAUAUUAAGGCUGGGAAUGGGGGAUUUUGAAGUUUCGAACAAAAAUCACAUGCCAGGAGUUUUCUUUUCUACGAAAAGUAUGUAGGAGCCCAUGUAUAAUGAAGACCAUAAUGAUUUUACAAUAUAACACAGCAGUGGAUAGAGUGGUUACAAGGUGGACGGUGCUUCGGUUUUGAAACCAUUCUGUGCAUGCCUGUCAUAGAAGAUUAUACUUGUCAAUGUAAUUCCACCAGUGCCGAAAUCUCGCCUUUUAUUUAUCCUCGUAUGAAAUUAAGUUUCGACUAAUUUUUCGCUUGGAUUUUUCGCCAUUACGGUUUAAGAAUGGUGUUGGGAAGCAUUGAAGGGCCACCUUUCUUUUCUGAAACAAACACUGUUCUCGCAAAAGAAGUUUUCCUUUCAGUGUUGAUACAUUUCCCCCAUAGUUAGGCCUACACGAAUAAAAUCAAACCCCCAAAAGGUACUGGGCUGUAUAAAUAUUGACGUUUAUGUUCAGUCUUCAGAAGAGACGAUCCCACUUUACAGUUAGCUUGUUCCUUGUGCCGGUAAAUUUAGAUAACAACUGAACAUGUAAUAUAUAUUGCGCUUAUUUCUAGUUCAAAUAUUAGCAUUUAAUCACAAGUUGAGAAAUAGAGACACAUUAAGUUCUUGAUACUUGAUGUAGUACUUGAGAUACCUUUUUAAUGAUUUUCUAAUAAACAUAAUACAAAUGAUUUUAAGAAGA